GUCCUUUUGGUUAAGUAAAAGGUCUGACCUGCCCAGUGAAAUUUUUAACGGCCGCGGUAUUUUGACCGUGCAAAGGUAGCAUAAUCAUUAGUCUUUUAAUAGAGGACUGGAAUGAAAGGUUUUACGAAACAUAUACUGUCUCAUUUAUAUAAAUUGAACUUAACUUUUAAGUUAAAAGGCUUAAGUUUUUUUGGAGGACGAGAAGACCCUAUAGAGCUUUACAUUAUGAAUCUUUUUUUAUUUAGUUUAUAAUUUAUAUUGAGAUUAUUUAGUGUUUUGUUGGGGUGACAAGAAUAUAUAAUUAACUUUUAUCAUAAAAAUAACAUUAAUUUAUGAAUAAUGGAUCCAAUAUUAUUGAUCAUUAGAUUAAGUUACCUUAGGGAUAACAGCGUAAUCUUCUUUCAGAGUUCAAAUUUACAAGAAGGGUUGCGACCUCGAUGUUGGAUUAAGAUUAUAUUUAGGUGUAGAAGCUUAAUUAAUAGGUCUGUUCGACCUUUAAAAUCUUACAUGAUCUGAGUUCAGACCGG
rnacentral:rRNA from 1 species